rnacentral:misc_RNA from 1 species
AGGAAAGCUGCCUGAUUGUAGAUUGAUGAUUAUCUUGUGACCAGUUGCUACGGAUAUCCGUUAUCGAACUGAUUUUGAAUGAGAAGCUCCCAUGGUAUGGAAUUUGUUCAGAAAGACAAAAUGGGGAAUAGUGUACACCAACAUGCCAUUAAAACGUUUGACGACCAGUUUGUAUAUACCAGUGAAAUCCUGGAUCACUUCAAUGACACAAACUGCAAAGCUUUAAAAAACAAACCCAAACUAUUCUUUAUUCAGGCCUGCAGGAUUCCGCACACCAAAGCUACAAAGACUGAACGCAUCAAAGGGAUCGGUUUUGACUCCGGAGUUCAUCUUCCUAGUAGAGGAGACGAACAUGACCAGAGAACUGCAGGGGACCUGACAGAUUUUGAUGGAUCUACCUGUGAAACUGACACAGAUUCUGACAGUGAAAGUGAUGAUGUUUCAGACACCGAUGUAGAGGAGGAUGAGUCAUCUUUAUUUGACAUUGAAAUCACUGCUAGAGGUCAUGAGGAAAGAGAAAAAAUCUGGCAGAAUUUAGAAAAAAGACAAGCAGAAAUUUUUAAAAAGCUGAAGAAAAUGGAAAACCAGGUAUGGCUUCUAGGGCGUGAAUACAUUGUAGCAGCCAAAGAAAACAGGAAACCGGAGAAAAAAGGUCCAAGGUCACCUAUUGUUGGGAAUUCACAGACUGCAGCCUAUGAAAAUAAGAAACCUAGUGUACACGAUAAUGAAGAACUAAACUCACAGAAUGCAGCAAGUGAGAAUGAUGAAGAACCAUGUCCACACGACUCAGCUGAUGAGAAACCCAAUCCUCAGUAUUCACCAGAAGUGAAUGCUGACCAUGAAGAUGAUAUCGACCCAGCAAAAGGACAAAAGGUUUACUUUACAAACACCUCAGCUCCAGUAGAGUUCACCUUGGUCCCCUGUCACAACGAUAUGCUCAUCAUGUUUGCCUCCCCUCAAGGUCAUUACGCAUUUAGAAGAAAAACAGACGGAAGUUACAUGUUGCGGUUAUUGUACGAGUCUGUAGAGAAAUACUAUGUAAAUGGCCGUCUUACAGGGAAUCAUACUAACUUUCUAGAUGUAUUGAGGGAUGUUACAACCCGGAUGUCUAAAACGAAAUUUAUGGGUUCUAUGGAAUACACCAUUGUGUCAUGUGUCGUCCAUAAACUGAGAAAAGAUGUCAUCUUUACUCACGGAACAAAUAUGAGCAGGACAAAAUUUACAAUCAAGCCCUGUGACUUGGAAUGAUUUGAUUCUUAGGCAAUUAUUUUUUACGCGAUCAAAAUGGAAUUACUAUUAAUUUACUAGUUUAUUAUAUUCACGUUGUUAACAAAAAAAAAGAAUUAUUCUAGGAAUCUUUACUACCAUCGGUGCAUUGGGAUUAUAUAAUAUUCAUUUAAUAAACGUAUGAUAGUGGGUGUUUAUUACAUUUAAUAAACGUAUAAU